GCCAAGUUGAAAAUUUUUAUAAUAGACUAAAGUUGUAAAUGAGUACGCACAAGACCUCACUUUGGACAAGCAUAUCUUCAUUUAUAUAAGAUGUUGUGUGAUGAACAAUCUAUCAAAUUAAAGCUCUUUAAGUCUAGUUUGCAAAUCAUCAAACCGUUCAUCAUUUGGAGGUGUAUACAGAAAGUUAUGACCAUUUUAUCAGACCUAUGUCAGAUGCGCGUCUGCGGCUCGGCCGGGGGAAAAUUGAGAGUUUCUUCCUCCCGAGCACGGUAUGAGCGCGGCCACCGUGUCCCGAGCACGGUUUGACCACGGUUAAGAGGCCUCCGAACUGGCGAGUGCUUAAAUCGAACCAUCUCGAUUUAGAGAGGUCGAUGGGAGAGCUUUAACUGAAGCUCCCGAACCAGAAGGAGGUGAGGCCAUGCCCCAAACUAGGGGGUCGAGAAGGAGACCGGAGAUGAGACUCCUCGAGCAGAGGAAAGUGCCUCGAAAGAUGCCCUUGGGGUGAUUGACCUCGCCGGGUCUCCUCAAUUUUCAGAUGCCAUGAUCCAUGAGGCCGGUAUGCUAGAAAGUCGUUCUUAUGAGGGGCCUCAGGGGCAACAGAUAUCUAUAACUUCUUAUAUGGGUUAGAGUCUACUACCCUAGAGGAUGUCACUAGGCUCGGAGACUUGCCGGUUCCAAAGAAGGUACCAUCAUCGUAAGUCAGUGGGUCUUCCUCGAGCCUAAAGUUAGUGGAUUGCUUCCCUACCCCGAAUGUUGACUCUGACCGAAAGCGGUCAAUAGUUUUCUCUAUCCCGGAGGAUGCUCAGGUUUUAUCUAUCCCCGUAGGGGUUACUAGCUAUCUUCGGUAUUUGGGGACCGAAGAAGAUCAGGCAGUGAUGGACAAGGUAGAAACCCCUGCCUAUUCGAUGAAGCUCAACAAGCGUUGAAUCGGGAUUUGGUGCUCCACCAUGAUACUUUCCUCCGAUACCGGGAGGCAUUAACCCAUCACGAGGCCGAGGUUCGGGAUCUCACUGAGAAGAGGGACACCUACAAGCUUCUUAGUGAAAAGCCUCAGGGCAAGUUAGAAGUGGCUUGGAGGGAACAUGCUAAGAUGGCCGAGCAGGUUCGACAGAUGCUUGAAGAGAUCGGGCAGCUCCAGGUACAGGUAGAUACGAUACAAGCCGAGGUUGAGGAGUUGAAGAAAAAUAUAUGCCUCUUAGCCUCGAAAAAGGAAGCUAUCCAAGCACAACUAGAUUCGGCUGAGGCCCAGCUCCGGGCUGCAAAAGAGAAGACCUUGGUGCAGGCCAAGAAAAUCGAGGAGCUCCAAUCUUAGUUGGACUUGGCUACUUCUGGUAAAGAGAAUCAGGCCAAGGAACUCGAGACGGCCAAAUCAGAGGUGGUUGUGGACAAGACCAAGGCUGAAGCUAAAGUGGCCCAGUACAAGGUUGAUGUCGAGGUGAUUUAGGUGCAGGCUAAAAGUAUGGUGGAUCAUGCAAGGUGGCAAGCUCGAAGGGAAGCCGUUGAGGGAAUCCAUGCUCAGAACUUCGAUAUACUGGCUGAAAUCGAGAAUGCCAAAGUAUAAGAAGCCAGGGCCCGGAAGCUGGCCUUUCCCGAGGAAGAUUCCGAGAGUUAAGCAUGUUUGAAGACGGGGAACAUCCCGUAGAUGAAGAUGCUGCCUCCGAUGGGGACCUGGACACUUAGGCCUUUAUAUGUUUUUAUUUUUUGCAUCUUUUUGAGGCUGUUUCGUCUAUUGUAGAUUUUUGUAUUGGGACAUUUUGGCCUUUGUAAAAAGAUAAUUGGGUAAAUAUAUAUACAAGGCUUUCUUUCCCCCUUCGA